UAUCUCUGUAGAGUCUGCAUAUCAAUAAGCGGAGGAAAAGAAACUAACAAGGAUUCCCUUAGUAACGGCGAGUGAAGCGGGAAGAGCUCAAAUUUGAAAUCUUCAAGGUUCUACCUUGACGAAUUGUAGUUUAAAGAAGUGUUUUCUGUUGAAGUUAGGUACAAAGUUCCUUGGAAUAGGACAUCAUAGAGGGUGAGAAUCCCGUAUUUGACGUUAUUCAUUCUAGCUGUGUGAUACACUUUCUAAGAGUCGGAUUGUUUGGGAAUGCAGUCCAAAAUGGGUGGUAAAUUUCAUCUAAAGCUAAAUAUUGGCGAGAGACCGAUAGCGAACAAGUACCGUGAGGGAAAGGAUGAAAAGAACUUUGAAAAGAGAGUUAAACAGUACGUGAAAUUGUCAAAAGGGAAGCGUUUGACACCAGUGUUGUUUUUCCAAAAAUCAAUUACGAAUGGCUUGAUUUUGUGUUGUAUUGACCUUAUCAGCUUUCUUCACUUUUUUCGAGUCUUUCUUAAUGCACUUUUUGGUUAACAAGUCAACAUCAAUUUCUUUUGUUGUAAAAGAGUAUUCGGAAGGUGGCUUUCUUUUCGGAGAAAGUGUUUAUAGCCCUAUACUUCUACAAUCGGAGAGAUUGAGGUCUGCAGCGUAGAUCCUUCGGGGUUAGAUACACUUGUGCUAAGUUGUAGCUUUUCAUAGACAACUUGUUGACUAUGUUUAGUCAUGCGGCUUACUCGCUUGUGUUAUUUUACCUACGCUUAGGAUGUUGACUGAUAUGUAGUCGUA
rnacentral:rRNA from 1 species